rnacentral:rRNA from 1 species
CCUACGGGAGGCAGCAGUAGGGAAUAUUGGACAAUGGGUGCGAGCCUGAUCCAGCCAUGCCGCGUGCAGGAAGAAGGCCUUCUGGGUUGUAAACUGCUUUUGCCGGGGGAUAAAAGACCCAUGCGUGGGGAAUUGAAGGUACCCGGUGAAUAAGCCACGGCUAACUACGUGCCAGCAGCCGCGGUAAUACGUAGGUGGCGAGCGUUGUCCGGAUUUAUUGGGUUUAAAGGGUGCGUAGGCGGCCCCGUAAGUCAGUGGUGAAAUACGGCAGCUCAACUGUCGAGGUGCCAUUGAUACUGCGGGGCUUGAGUACAGUCGAGGUAGGCGGAAUUGACGGUGUAGCGGUGAAAUGCUUAGAUAUCGUCAAGAACACCGAUAGCGAAGGCAGCUUGCUAGGCUGUAACUGACGCUGAGGCACGAAAGUGCGGGGAUCAAACAGGAUUAGAUACCCUGGUAGUCCGCACAGUAAACGAUGGUCACUCGGUGUUGGCGGUACACGGCCAGCGCCUUAGCGAAAGCGUUAAGUGACCCACCUGGGGAGUACGCCCGCAAGGGUGAAACUCAAAGGAAUUGACGG